rfam:Oryza punctata chromosome 12, whole genome shotgun sequence.
GAUUUCAACUGAAAAAGUCAUCAACAACAAAAUUGUAUAACUCAUCAAUAUCUAUAACUUUUAUUUUGAUCAUUUCUUCAUCUGAUAAAGUGAUAGUAACAUUGUUCACAAAAUUUACAUAUCUCUCAUAUGGUUUUAUAAACUAUAAGAGAUAUGCAAAUUUUGUGAACAAUGUUACUAUCACUUUGUCGGAUGAAGAAAUGAUCAAAAUAAAAGUUGUAUGUCUUGAUGAGUUCUACAAAUUUUAUGUUCAUGACUUUUUCAGCUGAAAUU